AUUAGAGAGGCAUAAUGGUAGAGUGUUUGGUUCUGAGUCUAAUAACUUGGAUUUAAAUUCUGUCUCUAAUA
rnacentral:tRNA from 1 species